GUUAAGCAAUACAAAUAAAAGAGCAGUGUUGCUCAUGAAAGUAGGAGUGUAGUGUGGCUAUGAAUUUAAAAAAUAGCAGACUUGGCUACUUUGAUAGGCUGAUUUUUUUGGGAGGGGGUCUGGAACUUGGCCUUUUUUCACUGUUAGGUUUUUGUUGGGGUUUAAGUUAUUUGGUAUAAAAGUAACCGUGUUGAACACAAAACAGUAGACUUCUUUUGCAGCUACAGUGAUUUUUUUAAUACUGACAAACGCAGUUUAAACACAUCAUUCUGUUAUGUUAGCCCAAAAUAUAUUCAACAUGUUUUUACGAUAUGUUUUAGUACUAUCUGUAUUAUUCAGCAGUAUAAAUUGCGGAGGAGAUGAGGCUUUUCUGACACGUGUUGGUUAUCGAGACGCCUUCCAGCAAAUCAGCACUCCAAGUCAAUUUGGUCCGGUACCAAACCUCAGCAAUCAACUCGGCACUGAUGAUUCGUACCCACAAGACGACAAAUUAAUAGA